GAUGAACGCUGGCGGCGUGCCUAAUACAUGCAAGUCGAGCGAACAGACGAGGAGCUUGCUCCUCUGACGUUAGCGGCGGACGGGUGAGUAACACGUGGAUAACCUACCUAUAAGACUGGGAUAACUUCGGGAAACCGGAGCUAAUACCGGAUAAUAUAUUUAACCGCAUGGUUCAAUAGUGAAAGACGGUUUUGCUGUCACUUAUAGAUGGAUCCGCGCCGCAUUAGCUAGUUGGUAAGGUAACGGCUUACCAAGGCAACGAUGCGUAGCCGACCUGAGAGGGUGAUCGGCCACACUGGAACUGAGACACGGUCCAGACUCCUACGGGAGGCAGCAGUAGGGAAUCUUCCGAAAUGGGCGAAAGCCUGACGGAGCAACGCCGCGUGAGUGAUGAAGGUCUUCGGAUCGUAAAACUCUGUUAUUAGGGAAGAACAAAUGUGUAAGUAACUAUGCACGUCUUGACGGUACCUAAUCAGAAAGCCACGGCUAACUACGUG
rnacentral:rRNA from 1 species